GGGGAGGGCUCAUUGAAGAUGGCAUCAUAACUUUACCUCUGGCUGGAAGCUGUGCUGGAGUCGGGAUAGGAGGGAACUCUCUGUCAGUGAUUUUCCAUUCCUAGGAAAUGGGAGGGGUCACAGACACACAUGCAUGCAAGGAGACCCAGGACAGAGGAAGACAUACGUACAUACAUGUCACUAGGAUGCACAGAAACAUUUGGAGGGCCUAUUGGCACUUUUGUCCACAUACGUGUUGUGGGCUGGUCCCCAUAGGAUGGUCUCUGAAGGUCAAGAAUGAUGAUGGCUUUUAGCUUUCUAGGUCUUAGGUACUGUCUCUUUUGAUUCCUCAUAAAAUUCUGUGAAGUAGAAAAUACUCUUUCUCAGAUGAGAAAACUAAUAUAUAAGUACGGUUAAACUACUUGCUCAAGCUUGUACUGUGAGGAGGAGCAUAAUAGCAACUCGGGGCUCAGGCCUUUUAAUUCCAGGUUAAGAGCCACUUCUGCUGCACCUCAGAUGAAGCCAGUAGUCCCAGAAGCCCUGCCUCUGGCCCAGAACAACUUCUUAGGACGUGUGGAUCGUCAGACAAACGGGAGUUUAGCCAAUGCAUCUGGGAGGGUUUCCUUAAAGAGCACAGGCACUGGAGAAUGUAGACACGGGUUUGAGUGUUGUCACCUCCUCUCGAGCUGUGUGGUACUGGGCAAAUACAUCAGCUUCUCUGAGCCAGCAUUUCCUCAGCAGCAAAAUGGAUAUAACAAAAUCUACCCCACAUAUUGUAUGAAAUAAGAAGAAACAUAAGAACAACCUAACACAGUGAACACAGUUAUGGCAGGUCUGUUUAUGCUGAAUGUCCAGGACCUGUCCUGUUCCACUAGGCAGGAGGUCUACUGGGCAGGUGGUGGUGAGGGGCCGUGGAGUGCCCUUGCUUAGCGUGGUGUCAGCGGAGGAAAGGUGGCCAGGGGACUUUGGAGGGACUUUCCUGGCCUGGGAUCCAGAGCAGGACCUCUUGGCUAUAUCCCAUCUGGGCUGAGGCCAGCUCUCGUAGGCACUGACCUGGGCUGGCGAGGAGCAGUCUGAUGGUGUUUUGUGCCUGGAACCCCAGAGCAGGGGAAGAGAUCCUCCCAGGUUCUGCUUGGGGCUCUGCCUGCAGUUUCCCGCUGUCAGCAGGCAAGGCACAGGACCGCUGCUUGGGCACCAGUGCGUGGGAGGUGAUUACCCCUGUAAUGUUUAAUGUGCCGAAAAACCAUCAGACCCCGAAAUGGACAAGUUCUCAGUUGGUAACUUUAAUUAUUGUUAAGACUCGGUCACGCCUGCUUAUUAGCAAUUAUGCAUGGCAUCUCCCAGGGUGCUGUGGGCCUUCCCCUUUUUCUUGUGGACUGCUGCCUUCAGGUGGCUGGAAAAGUGGCACCGACCGCACAGGUGGCUGCUGUUGCUCCCCUGCAGCCUGGCCUUGCUUAGGACCAAAGGGGGCCACCUGCUUCUUCUCAGAGGGGAGGCGGGGGAGGGGCCUUCCAGCACAAAUUGAGAGAGCCCGAGGGGUACUACCUGCACCGCACAAUGCCUGUUACAAAGUGCUUUUGGCCCUGUUACCUCGUUCCUUCUAUCAGCAUCUCCAUUUCACAAAGGGAAGCGAGCCUUAGAAAGGUUAAGUAAUGGCAGUCACUUCUGAGCGUGCCCACCUGGCGUGCCUCCCCUUCUGGGAGAACCCCCCUGAAACCUCACACCUGACUGCCGUGAAACUGCCACGUGCCCUCCCCCCACUCCUCCCCUCCCCACACCAGCAUAGCUGCCCGGAUGAGGCGUGGAUUCCUGACCCAAGCUGGGCCACGCGGAGACUCUCUCCUGGAAAUGGAGAAUUGGGACACAGUUGGAUGCUGGACACCGGAGAUGAUGGAGAACCUGGGACCGGGGUGGGCCAGUUAGAAUCACAUACAAAGAAAGCCUGUCUCUAGGGAGAGACACUAGAAAAAUAAGUUCACAGAUGCAAUGAGAAGAGAGAGAGUGAGAGAGAGAGAGAGAGAGCAAGAGAGAGAGAGAGAGAUCGAGACUAUGAACAUGAAGCCACAGAGAAGAGACUGUAAAAUGACAGAAAGACACAAAUACCAUCCCGGGUUCUAUUCUCCACUUCCUUGCAAGCUCUGGCUGUACUUCCUCCUUCUGGUUCCCUCUGUAUCCUUCCGAUAAAAUCCCCUCACUUGCUCCAGGCAGUCUUAUCCCCGGUCCCUUACGAAGCUCAGGCAGAACCAUGCGAAGCCAGCCCUGAUGGUCAGCUGGAGGUUUGAGGGCUUUAGUGUCCCUACAGACUGCAGGGGCCAGCUGGGUCCAUAGAUCCAUGGGCACAGCUAAUUCCAGGCUAGAGGAAGGGGGCAGGGGUGCGGCCACAUCUCAUCACCGACCCCCAGCAAUGUCCAUCAGCCCCUGGAGAAUCUUCCCGAAGGUCCCCCUCUCUCCCAUCACCCCUUGCCCAACUCAGGAAUCCCUGCCACUAGGCUCUGCUCAGGCAGUGGCUGGGUGAUGCCGUGUGUUGGCAGCCCUGCUUCUGGUCCUGAUUUUUAAGAAGGGGAGGGGAAAAAAACAGAAGGGAAAAAGUGAACAUGAGUAAUGGGCCUGGAAUGAGGCAUAUGAGAUAACACUGAAUAAUAACGCGUCAGAAACUACAAGAUGUAUUUUUUUUUAUUUCCCAGUGGAGUUUCCAGUGCGCUAAUCCAUCACUGUAGAGCAGGCAAGAUUAUGCUUCCCCAAAAAACUCUGGGAGAUAAAUGAAAAUGGUAGGAUUGCAUUUCCCUCUUCACCUGGAGUUUGAUGUGGCUGUAUGACUGGAUUUGGACAAUGAAAUGCGGGCAUAAGUGACACAUGUCACUUCUGGGAUGCAGCUUUCAGAGCCAGUGUGUAAUUCACCAUGUCCUCUUCCCCCUGCCAUGACAACCUGCAAUGCUCCGGCCAGAUGCAGAAACUCUGGGGAAAUGACUUGAGCAUGGUCACUGACAAAUGAAAAAUCCGGACCAGGAUUUUGCGGAGCCACUCGACAGAUGAGAAUCUCAUUUCGAGGCUCCUCAGAAGGCGAACUGCACCCCCUCCCUCAAGCCUCUUCUCCAGUCUCAUGGUUUUCAUGACCACUAGGGGAAGACGACGAAUUCCAAGGUGGAGAGGAAAGAGAAGAGAAGGAAAUAAUGAAAAUAGUAACACCUCCUUGCACUUUUAACAAAACGCUUUUUUCUACAUUAUUACACUGGAUUCCAAUUACAGCCCUGGAAGAGAGAGGUAAUUAUCCUAGGCUUAUAGGUUUUAUGCAUUUGCACAGCAAUAUUUUGCUAGCAUCUACUAUGUGUUGGGGCAUGAUGCUACGUGUUGGGGUGCAGAGUUGAAUGGUAUAGCUCCUGUGCUCAAGUGGCUGAGUGAAUGGAGGCUCCCAGGACAAGGGCUAGGAAGGAUGCGAUCCUGGCUCUUUAGCUCUGUGGCUGAAUUCAAAGAGGAGCAAAGUAGGGACUUAGGCUGUAAUACAUGUUGAUGGACCCUUGCAUUCCAGUUAGAGCUGUCUCUUCAUUGUCCCUGGGAGGCUGAGGAUCAGCAUCAUACCUGAGUAGCAUGUCCAGCAUCCCACUCAGCCUCCACAUUUAUCUUCGCUGGCAGAACCUUUGCUUUGUCUAGAUCUCCUGCACCCAGGCACCUCAGGGAAAGCUGGCUUCUCCCAGCCCCAGGGGCUGGAUCGUGUAUGCAGCCAGGCAAUCACACUCAAUCUAAUCUCCUUGCAGUUCUAACCAAUGAGACAUAAUAGAGCCUGAAGAGAUUCUUGGAUUUCUCACCCUAAAACGAGCACAAAAGAGGGACCAUCUGUUUUUUGAGGGGUAUUAUUAUGUGAGGGCAUGAUGCUGAGAGCUGCUGCAGCCACUUUAGGACCACGAGGGGGCAAGCCUGAGGAGAACUGCCAGCAUGCUGAGCAUAGCAGGGCACAGAGAGGGAGAGAACUGGCUCUUCAUGUUGAUUGACUAAAUUGAGUGCUUCUUGUUAUAUCAGAUAAUACAUAUUCUUAUUGUUAAGCUCUUUGGGGCAUCAUAUCACUUGCUGCUAGAAUCUUCCUAACUUGUAUAGGCAGAUACAAUCAACCAGCAUGUGUGUACUGAGUUGCCACAGGCUCCACCACUGUUGGUGUGUAUCUGCAGGCAGGUCUCAUACUUUCCUGGGCCUCAGCCUUCUCAUCUGUGAAACGAGGGUGGGGACCAGGGUCCAUUCCAGAACUAACUCUUCUGGUAUUACUCUGAACUCAGCACUGGGAUAGGCACAUGGGGACGGGGGGACGGGGGAGGGGGGGAUGAGGCGCUGUAAAGAAAGCUAAGAAUCGCUAGUUGGAGUCAGAGAAGAAGGCAUCCAUGAUAUGGCUGAGGGGUUGGGGGGCAGAGGAAGGGGAAGAAGAGGAGUUUCCCUCUUCAGGGUCUGCAGGAAGGAGCUGGUUGAGAAGGUCGGUGUGUGUCGCCUGUUCAGAGCAGUGUCUGGGGGACAGGUGGCUGCCAGGAGCCACUCCCCUACCACCUUCCUGAUCUGAGUCAGCUGCACAUGGCUCCCACCUGCCUGCCCUUCUGCUCUCUGUGCCUCUCACUCCACUUGGCCGGAUUAGCUCUUCCUGCAGGGGGCGGGGCUCAGGGGAUCUUGCAGGUGUUUCCCAAACUGGGGGCGGAGUGUGGGUGGGAAUGGGCGUCCAUGACAGAAUGAACCAGAAGUGCCAGGAUCCCUGUGAAACGCUGAGGCAGCCCCUCCCAGGACCUCACAACCCAGCUGUGGUCCCUGUCUUACCUGCAUGACCGCCACUUGUCAGCCUCCUGGAGAUGCUGGAAGGGAGGUGUCUGCGGUGACUGUUUAACCCAAAACAACACAGAGGCGCAGCAAGGUGAGAUACCUUGAUAGAAGUCAUGCUGCUGCUGAGCCAUGGAGCUGGGACCCAAGCUCAGAUUUGUCUAAUGUCAUCCCCAAUUCUGGCCUGUGAGCAAGGCCUUGGACCACUGGGGCCAACCCGCUCCUUCGGCUCAUUCUCCCAUCCUAAACCACAGAGUCAGCAUUAUUCUCGUCUCUGCAGGCCCUUCCUCCUACCGGCAGGGAGCUGCCUCUUUCAUCUCUGCCUCUUUCUGUGAAAUCUCACUUCUGCUCUUCUCUAGGGCCAGCUCCACAGAUUGGCUUUUAGGUCACCCAUGCUUUUAGGUCACCUGUGCCCUCCCCUGUCCCCUCCCCCACUGCCAUACCAAAUAAAACCUAACAAACAAAAUCUCUUUUCAUUAGACUUAUAGGGCUUGAUCCUUAUUUACUUUUCCACUCAAUAUUCAUCAAAUAUAAUUGAGCAUUUACUAUGUGCAAAUAGUGUCAAGUGCUAAAGAUAUCAAGAAUGAACUUGAAUGGAUAUGGUGUCAUCCCUUACAGAACUAUGGUCAAGUGCACUUCUAGCGAAUCCACCCCUUCUCUCUGUAUAUAUGGCACCUCCUAGGUGCAAUGCUAUUGCUGAUAAGAAACCAGUUCUUAGAUUGCCUGGGACAAUGUCUAGGGUUAGUAGGUGCUGCCUGGAAUAAGUAAAUUAACAAGGUGGGGUAAAGGGCCAGGAAAGGCCAGGUGAAUACAUUUGAGCUACAUUUCAAGGAGGUCAGGCAGCCCGCCUUCUGUUGCUGCAUCCUUGGAUGAUGCUAAAUUGUCUAAUAAAUGCUCUUCCAGCCAGGGGCUCUGGAGAGGGCCACUGACAUGGCUGAGGCCUGAGGCCAGCGCCCAGCCCAAGUCUGUGUUAGGAGACUGCAUGAUGAAUGCAAGGUGUAGGAAAUAGAAAUUAUUAAACUCUCAGAUAGGGACAGAAAUGCCUUUGUGUGGCUGCAGAGUUGGGAAAUUAUGCCGAAGAAAUGCAUUGCAAAUCAGCCUGCACCAGGCAGAGAGGGGCUUUUAUUCUGCAGGUCCCGAAGUUCCUUUGGCAGCUUUUGUGUACAGCCGCAGAGGCUCUUCUGGGAGGAGAGAGAAGCUGGUAAUUUCGUGGCUGAUUGGCAGACUGUCCAGAGCCAAUAAAGAUAUUUGUUUUCUUGCUGAAAUGCUCACACACCCAAAUCUCAGUGCCUCAAUUUUGUCUUUCUUUCUCUUGUUGUGAUCCCAACCCCCUUUCCAUUAUGGGGAGGAAUGAAACUCGGGCUGUCUGUCCCCCUUCACAUGGCCCAGUGUGGGCCCUGUGGGGACAGGGGUCCCCAUCCUGGUAACCCAUGAGGAUGGAGGAUCUUUGCCAGGAUAUCUGGCCUCUUCUCCAGGCAUCCAGUUUACUUUGGCACAAUCUACAGAGAGGAACACUGCCACUUUGGUGCCCUGGGUAAGCUUGAUGUCUGCACUAACACAAAUCCACCCAAUGUCCCUGCAAUGCUCCAUACUGUUUGCCCAUUUUAAGGAUGAGGAUAGGUGGCUUGUCCAAGGUCUUGGCAUUAGGAAAUUGUGGCACUGCGAUUUGAAGUCAAGUUUAUCAGAUUCCAUAGUCUGUGGUCUUGGGUUUUUUGAGUGUCCCCAUGGGGUCUCACUCUAACAGUAUUCAUGGUGCCCCUGCUGAUUAAAAGUGCCUUCCCCGGUACAGUGGGGACUCUUGAACUGGGUUCUCUAACAGUCAAACCUAAGUUACAGGAACAUCUUAAAGUUUUAACAGAAGUAUCUGCUUUAGAAAUCGAAUGGUCCUUUGAAACUGUGUAAUUCAUCCCCUUUCUCAUCUGGACCCAUUUUACUGAUCAUGAAGCUUAGGCCUACAGAGUUUAGGGAUUGCCCCAAGGUAACAGCCAACUCUAAGUGCAGACCCAAGACAAGAACCUGUCCUCUCACUCUCAGUCCAGUGUUCUGCCUACCUCAUCUGCAGUAUCAAUUAGGACUAGGUUUGGCUGUGAGUGAUAGAUACCAUCAACACAGUGAUCUCACUCCCUGAUGUAAAGUAAAUCAGAAACAGAGAAAUCAUACGUAAAAUAAAUCAGAAGAUGGUAUGGCAGCUCCACAGUGUUAGGGACCAAGACUUUAUGUUGUCACUUUGCUACUUUGUGGCUUCUUUCCCAUGUUUACCUCAUGGCCCAAAAUGGCUGCUGGAGCUCCAGCCAUUACGUCCAGCAUCUGGAAAGAGGAGGCUCUCCUCUUUCAAGAGACUUCCUGGAAGUUUCCCGUAGCACUUCUGUCUCCUUGGCCAGUAAUUUAGUUGAUAGCCACACUAGUUAAAUGGGAGCCUGGAAAAUGUCAUUUUUUUAGCUGGGUGCUUGGUAAGAAGUCAGGAGGACUCUCUGUAUUCCUAAGAAAACAGGAGGGAGGGGCUACUGGGAAGCAACUAGAAGCCUUUACUGUAGCUCCUUAGUCUCUAAAUUGGCUGUCAACACCAUGCUUCCUGGUCUGCAGUGCUAGGGAUUCCCAGUUGAGAGGGAAGCUGAACCAGUAGAUCUUGACUGGCGGAAAAACAAGUUGGGUCUUUGUUUUGUGUGGUUUGUGUGUGUGUGUGUGUGUGUGUGUGUGUGUGUGUGUGUGUGUUUUCCCUUCCUCCUCCAGAUAAAGAUGGGGCACUUAGCUCUGGAAGAGUUUGCAUCAUGGGACUUUUUAAUAUAAUGCCACCUAGCCUAGUGUUUUCAGUGCUCAUCUAUUUUGGCUCAAUUCAAAGAUUACGUUGGUUUGAUUCCUUCCUGGAUUUUAUAAAACAUGAGGGCAGAGGUUUAGGAUAAGGGAAGACGGGACGUAUAUGAGUGUGUCAAUGUAUGUAUACCUAUUUUCAGAGGGGAAGGAAACCUCCAUUCCCCUGCAUCCUUGUACUUUCCCAGUCAGGCUGAAAAAGCGUAAAAUACUGAUUUUGUUCAUCUGCUGGUUCUUCUGGUAACAUGGAGCCAAGGCUGCUGUUUUGAAUACCUAGAGGCAAUUACGGGCUCCACAAAUGAGAGAAACAGAGUGUGAAGCUGCCUAGAGAUGCUGAGUCCAACCACCUGCUUAAUAGACAAAAAUCCCAAGGCCUAAGAGAUGUUACCGGUUUACCCCAAAUUUGCAGAGCUGGGUCCAGUAUCCCCAUCUUUCCAAUUCCUAGACUAAGGUGAUUUUACCUCCCUGAAAUAUAUAUACAUCUUUUAUAUUGUUCUCUAGCCGUUCAUUUCAUGUGUGUUACUAUUGUUUCCCCAGCAGAAAACAGUGAACCCCUAUUAUGUUCAAAGCUUUAUGCAAGGCUUUGGUGUGAGGAGGAUGAAAAGAUGAAUAAAACACAGCUCCUGUCUUAAGGAGUUUGCGGUCUGGAGAGGAAUCCAGAUGCAUCAACAGUUAACCAUAAGGCAAGGCCAAGGGCUCUGAGGUUGCACAGGCCCUGGGUCGUGAUGCUGUAGAAGGGCUGGAGUGGGGGAUUGUGGGAGACCCCAUGGUGGGGUCUUUGAAGAAGAGAGGGGUUGAAGGAAGAGGUAGCCUAAUGAGAUGAAGGGCACAGAUAGAGCCUGAAAAUGAUACCAGCUAAUAGCUGCCUGCCCUGGGCACUGUCCCUGGAAUUUGGAGGGUUUGAUAUCUGGACCCAAGGAAGGAAAGCCUGGAAAGGUCUCCUCUGCCUCCAGGGCGGAGCUCCAGUCCCAGUCACUUCUUGGGCAGUGUUCUUGGUCCUGUUUGGCCAUUGAUGUGCCUGAAAUAGACCCAGCCAGUGUCUGGGUCUUGACAAGACCAGUUGAACCAGAUUCUUUAGGGGCGGCUUUCAGGCAUCUCUUUGCUGACAGCUCCCCGGUGAUUCUGAUAUCAAA